rnacentral:rRNA from 1 species
CAGCCGCCGCGGUAAUACGUAGGUGGCAAGCGUUGUCCGGAAUUAUUGGGCGUAAAGGGCUCGCAGGCGGUUUCUUAAGUCUGAUGUGAAAGCCCCCGGCUCAACCGGGGAGGGUCAUUGGAAACUGGGAAACUUGAGUGCAGAAGAGGAGAGUGGAAUUCCACGUGUAGCGGUGAAAUGCGUAGAGAUGUGAGGAACACCAGUGGCGAAGGCGACUCUCUGGCCUGUGACUGACGCUGAGGAGCGAAAGCGUGGGGAGCGAACAGGAUUAGAUACCCCUGUAGUCCCUGUCUCUUAUACA